UACGUAGGGUGCAAGCGUUGUCCGGAAUUAUUGGGCGUAAAGAGCUCGUAGGCGGUUCGUCGCGUCGGCUGUGAAAACCCGGAGCUCAACUCCGGGCCUGCAGUCGAUACGGGCGGACUCGAGUUCGGCAGGGGAGACUGGAAUUCCUGGUGUAGCGGUGAAAUGCGCAGAUAUCGUUUGGAACGCCAAUGGUGAAAACAGCUUGCUGGGAGUGUGCUGACGCUGAGACACGAAAGCCAGGGGAGCAAACGGG
rnacentral:rRNA from 1 species